GACGAACCGAGCGAACGUUGUUCGGAAUCACUGGGCUUAAAGGGCGCGUAGGCGGGCUGUCAAGUCUAGGGUGAAAUCCCACGGCUCAACCGUGGAACUGCCUUGGAUACUGGCGGCCUCGAGGGAGGUAGGGGCAUGCGGAACUGUGGGUGGAGCGGUGAAAUGCGUUGAUAUCCACAGGAACUCCGGUGGCGAAGGCGGCGUGCUGGACCUCUUCUGACGCUGAGGCGCGAAAGCAAGGGGAUCAAACAGG
rnacentral:rRNA from 1 species